rnacentral:rRNA from 1 species
AACGAACGCUGGCGGCAUGCCUAACACGUGCAAGUCGAACGAGACCUUCGGGUCUAGUGGCGCACGGGUGCGUAACGCGUGGGAACCUGCCCUUAGGUUCGGAAUAACUCCCCGAAAGGGGUGCUAAUACCGGAUAAUGUCUUCGGACCAAAGAUUUAUCGCCUUUGGAUGGGCCCGCGUUGGAUUAGCUAGUUGGUAGGGUAAAAGCCUACCAAGGCGACGAUCCAUAGCUGGUCUGAGAGGAUGAUCAGCCACACUGGGACUGAGACACGGCCCAGACUCCUACGGGAGGCAGCAGUGGGGAAUAUUGGACAAUGGGCGAAAGCCUGAUCCAGCAAUGCCGCGUGAGUGAUGAAGGCCUUAGGGUUGUAAAGCUCUUUUACCCGGGAUGAUAAUGACAGUACCGGGAGAAUAAGCUCCGGCUAACUCCGU